rnacentral:rRNA from 1 species
CAGCCGCCGCGGGAAAACGGAGGGUGCAAGCGUUAAUCGGAAUUACUGGGCGUAAAGCGCACGCAGGCGGUCUGUCAAGUCAGAUGUGAAAUCCCCGGGCUUAACCUGGGAACUGCAUUUGAAACUGGCAGGCUAGAGUCUUGUAGAGGGGGGUAGAAUUCCAGGUGUAGCGGUGAAAUGCGUAGAGAUCUGGAGGAAUACCGGUGGCGAAGGCGGCCCCCUGGACAAAGACUGACGCUCAGGUGCGAAAGCGUGGGGAGCAAACAGGAUUAGAUACCCCUGUAGUCCCUGUCUCUUAUAC